UCAAUAUCCAAGUGAGUUUGAACAAUUUAACAAUAAAGUCUGGUGUGAAACUUUGAAUCUGCAGAUGCUCUAAAAAGUGCUCCAAUCUUAUCUGCCACAGGAGGGUGCUGUUGCACAAGUUUUACGCAACACAAGCGCUUUCCAGUGAUUUUGUUACUUUGCCUCACAGAAACUGGGGCUUCUUAAUUGAAAUCUUACCACUUCAUUCACAUCUCUGUUAUUUUGUUUGAAAAUAAACCUAAAGAUGAUCUCUGGCACUUUAUUCGGAGUUUCAAGUCACAUUAAAACUUGUUUUAACUACUCUUGAAUUCUCUUCCGCCUUACUUCCCUUUCUCUCACCAUCUCCCUAGAGAGCCUGAGAGGCUGAGAGGCCAGCGAAGGGGUGAGGCGCUGACAGCUUUCUUUUUCAUGUCUUUUCAGCAUGAAACAUAGUUGUGGACUCGAUGUCAGCGUCUGAGAUGGCCGCUUUGAUAAAGUUAGUCUGGCUCGCUGAGAUUGGCAUCCUUCUGGCUGGAAAAGAAAACAGAAAGCUCUUAUACAUAAACAGAGGAAAAUAGCCCUGGCGCAGAGAGAAAAUUGACCUUCAGGAAACUGUGGAGUGCCAUCAGCUUAGAUGUCAUGUGGACCACGAGCAGCUCUAUAAAUCAUCAAAAAGUGGUUGAAACUUGAAAUCUAUUUUAUUCCAAAUCAAAACAUGAAACCUGUUAGACUGACAAGCCGGCAUGGCCACCCACAAAAGAAUGAAGAUCGCGGCAGAACGUCAGAUUCCAGCACAUCAAUGACCCUGAACAUAGAGCCAAAGUCUGAUUGGAAUGGUCUAGAAGAAAGCAUGUUACAGCACUGGUGACACAUUUGAGGAGUGCUUAUCCUACACAGUGACCCCGCAGAUGACCAACGUGUAACAGUCCUUAAUGUCCACCUGUUGGUCUGCACCGUGUAUAAAAGGUGUAUCCCACAACCAAGUGAGCACGAGUCUUCUCCUUCUGUCACAUGAACUUCCAAAAUGCCUUAAUGUUUGCUGCAGUGACGUGACAAAAUUGUCAUCGCAUUUAAAACCUCAGCAAAGGACAGUAGCGUAGCGAGACUCCAAAUGUUUGCCUCUUGAAAAAGCCAGAAAAAUACACACUGGAUCGUAGGCGUACACUAUGCCCUGCAAAUGACUCGACCCGGCCACCUUACAUGUCAUCAUGUUCCACUGUAAACUCAACGUGAUACUAGCUCCAAAGGCAUCUUUUGAUGCCAAUAUUAUCCUCAAUGUCAGUGCAGAUCUCCCGUCAGCCCGGUCCUAAUACUCAGUGACAGGAGCCCCGCGGUGAGGACCCCACUCUGUCGUCUGAUCGGGCAACCAGAUGGACAGCUCAGCAGCAAGAGGGGACCUGAUAUCAGUGUCAGCAAUCAGAUCUCACCCACUGAGAACUCGUGUGUGUGCGAGGCGGCGUGGGAGAGAGAAUACACAGUGCGAAGUGAUUGUUGGGAGCAUAUGUGCUGACGGCAGCCGGAGUGUGUGUUGAAAUGAAGAUUAAUGAAUAAGGUCCCGGUAAAGUGUGUGCAGACGAAGUUGGAGGGUCAACAGACGCUUCAAACUGUGCACAAACUUAAACUUGAGUGCGCACACGGUGUGUAGGUGGCGGUUUGUAAAAGUGUGUGCCUGGUUAAAUUGUAUCUUUUGACUUUUCACCACCUCUUGUCCCACAGCUGUGAGGUGCAGACUGACCUGAGAAAGGCUCACAAAGCUCCCCUAUAAUGGCACAACUCAACAAGUCAAAGGAGUUUCUCUUCAGCUAAAUAUUUAUUGUUUUAAA